UACGGAGGGGGCGAGCGUUAUUCGGAAUCAUUGGGCGUAAAGGGCGCGUAGGCGGCUUCGUAAGUCUUGGGUGAAAGCCCUCGGCUCAACCGAGGAAUUGCCUUGGAUACUGCGGAGCUCGAGGCUGGAAGAGGGCAGUGGAAUUCCCGGUGUAGCGGUGAAAUGCGUAGAGAUCGGGAGGAAGGCCGGUGGCGAAGGCAGCCCCCUGGGAUGAGACUGACGCUCAUGUACGAAAGCGUGGGGAGCAAACAGG
rnacentral:rRNA from 1 species